rnacentral:rRNA from 1 species
GACGAACGCUGGCGGCGUGCCUAAUACAUGCAAGUCGAACGAGAGCGACCGGUGCUUGCACUGGUCAAUCUAGUGGCGAGCGGGUGAGUAACACGUGGGUAACCUGCCCAUCAGAGGGGGAUAACAUCCGGAAACGGAUGCUAAAACCGCAUAGGUCUUCGAGCCGCAUGGCUUGAAGAGGAAAAGAGGCGCAAGCUUCUGCUGAUGGAUGGACCCGCGGUGCAUUAGCUAGUUGGUGAGGUAACGGCUCACCAAGGCCGUGAUGCAUAGCCGACCUGAGAGGGUGAUCGGCCACAUUGGGACUGAGACACGGCCCAAACUCCUACGGGAGGCAGCAGUAGGGAAUCUUCCGCAAUGGACGCAAGUCUGACGGAGCAACGCCGCGUGAGUGAAGAAGGUUUUCGGAUCGUAAAACUCUGUUGUUAGAGAAGAACAAGUGCUAGAGUAACUGUUAGCGCCUUGACGGUAUCUAACCAGAAAGCCACGGCUAACUACGUG